rnacentral:lncRNA from 1 species
GAGCUCUUGAACUCCCAACGUGAUCAUUGUCAUGACUCCGGCGCAACUCCUGUUGCAUGUCUUACUUUCAUCGUAGUUAAUCCUGCACAUGUAAACAAAACUUCGAUCGAGACAAUUAAUCCUAAGCGAUUAACCAAGUUGUCCGGCAUGUCAUUGGUCCCUCGACGCUUCGUCCGAUUCUUCGGCGCAUCGUUCUUUCCUGCGGCCUAUUGCCCAAUCGGCCAGUUGGCUCCGUAACUCCGAUAUCCUUGGCACAAUACCCGCUCUUCUUGGCCCGAGGCCCGAGUCCACGGC